AUAACGACUCUCGGCAACGGAUAUCUCGGCUCUCGCAUCGAUGAAGAACGUAGCGAAAUGCGAUACUUGGUGUGAAUUGCAGAAUCCCGUGAACCAUCGAGUCUUUGAACGCAAGUUGCCCCGAUGCCAUCAGGCUGAGGGCACGUCUGCCUGGGCGUCACGC
rnacentral:rRNA from 1 species